UACAGAGGUCUCAAGCGUUGUUCGGAAUUACUGGGCGUAAAGCGCGCGUAGGCGGAUCGCUAAGUCAGGGGUGAAAUCCCAGGGCUCAACCCUGGAACUGCCUUUGAUACUGACGAUCUGGAGAUCGGGAGAGGUUGGUGGAAUUCCGAGUGUAGAGGUGAAAUUCGUAGAUAUUCGGAGGAACACCAGAAGCGAAGGCGGCCAACUGGCCCGAUACUGACGCUGAGGCGCGAAAGCGUGGGGAGCAAACAGG
rnacentral:rRNA from 1 species